AGAAGUUCUGAAGUGAUGAUUGUUGCGUAGUUCAGACGAGAUUCGUCUCUGACUAAUUUAAACAAAAAUUGAUCUUUCGCUCCUAUUUGAUUACUUCU